UACGGAGGAUGCGAGCGUUAUCCGGAUUUAUUGGGUUUAAGGGGUGCGUAGGCGGAUCGUUAAGUCAGUGGUCAAAUUGAGGGGCUCAACCCCUUCCCGCCAUUGAAACUGGCGAUCUUGAGUGGAAGAGAAGUAUGCGGAAUGCGUUGUGUAGCGGUGAAAUGCAUAGAUAUCACGAAGAACCCCGAUUGCGAAGGCAGCAUACCGGCUCCACACUGACGCUGAGGCACGAAAGCGUGGGUAUCGAACAGG
rnacentral:rRNA from 1 species